UACGGAGGGUGCAAGCGUUGUCCGGAUUUAUUGGGUUUAAAGGGUGCGUAGGUGGCCCGUUAAGUCCGGGGUGAAAGCCCACAGCUCAACUGUGGAACUGCCCUGGAUACUGGCGGGCUUGAGAGUAGUCGAGGGUGGCGGAAUGGACGGUGUAGCGGUGAAAUGCUUAGAUACCGCCAAGAACCCCGAUUGCGUAGGCAGCUCGCUGUGCCGAAACUGACGCUGAGGCACGAAAGCGUGGGGAGCGAACAGG
rnacentral:rRNA from 1 species